GAUGAACGCUGGCGGCGUGCCUAAUACAUGCAAGUCGAGCGAACGGACGAGAAGCUUGCUUCUCUGAUGUUAGCGGCGGACGGGUGAGUAACACGUGGAUAACCUACCUAUAAGACUGGGAUAACUUCGGGAAACCGGAGCUAAUACCGGAUAAUUUUUUGAACCGCAUGGUUCAAAAGUGAAAGACGGUCUUGCUGUCCCUUAUAGAUGGAUCCGCGCUGCAUUAGCUAGUUGGUAAGGUAACGGCUUACCAAGGCAACGAUGCAUAGCCGACCUGAGAGGGUGAUCGGCCACACUGGAACUGAGACACGGUCCAGACUCCUACGGGAGGCAGCAGUAGGGAAUCUUCCGCAAUGGGCGAAAGCCUGACGGAGCAACGCCGCGUGAGUGAUGAAGGUCUUCGGAUCGUAAAACUCUGUUAUUAGGGAAGAACAUAUGUGUAAGUAACUGUGCACAUCUUGACGGUACCUAAUCAGAAAGCCACGGCUAACUACGUG
rnacentral:rRNA from 1 species